rnacentral:lncRNA from 1 species
AUGUGGCAUCAGGAGAGGACGGAGCGCGGACUGAGGGGAGAGAGGGCUGGACUCGGGGGCCGAGCGGGAAGCGGUCGGGGAGAAAGGCAGGGCAAGCCCUCGUGCGUCGCGCCACCUUGUGCCCCUGUGGCCAGGCGCCCCUGGCCUAGCUCCGCGGAGACCCCGUGCAGAGACAGCACUGCUGGGGACACCGCCUGUGGGGUGAGUCUGGGCCGGGGCCCUUCCAGCACCGUGGUAUGAAUUGUGCGACUUGAAUUGUCUUCCUGCCCUCACAAGAAAAAUGCAGAAUUUUCUUCCCAGCCUCCCUUGCAGCUGCAGCACAAGCACAUGACCUUGGCUCCUGCAGUUGACAUAUUUGAAUGAGCACCAGUGAGGCUUCCAUCAGAAACCAGACGAUUUCUGAACUGUCCGCUUGUGGAGUCCAUGGUGAAGAAGAUUCUGUAGUAGCACUGGUCCCGCUAGAGAAGCCCUGCUAUAUCACUGCAGACUCGGACGACCCUCUGGGCCCCGGGACACACUUGGAGUGUCCCUAAUAGGUUUUCAUAAUUAAUUUUUUCUGCUGGAGCUAUCCAGAAUUGAUUUCCAUUGUGUACCGAACCCCCCGAGUGGUGUUAGUCAUGGUGAAGUGAAUGCAGCUUGAACGUGGUAAACAUUGAUUCAAGCAGGAUUCCUUAGUGACUGAAAAUCUAAAUGACUGAAAAUUGGAUAAGCAGCACAUAUUUACAGAUACAAACUUCCACGUUAACUACAAAGGGAAUAAUAAACUCACCAUGGGUUAAGGUAACAAUCUUAGCCACGUAAUAUGAGUUGAUACCCUUAACAAAGGGACCAACUAGUAACGUGUGCUCACAGAUAUGACUCCCUGAAAGGGAUAUGUUAGUUCUUCAGUAUUCCUGCCAAAAAUAAUAAUACAACUAAACUGAACUCAAUCACAAGGAAGCAUGCAGCAAGCUCAAAUUGAGUAACAUUCUACAAAAUAAUUGAACUGAAUUCUUACAGUAAAAAUCAUAAAAGUUGAAGGCUGAGCACAUUUUCUGGAUUAAAAGAGAUUUACUUGACAUGACAAUUAAACUCAAGGCCCAACUCCAAAUUGGAUCCUGAUGCAUAAAAAAAGAAAGAAAAAGAAAUGCAAAUAAGUUAAAAUUACUGGGAAUUUUUUUCAAAAUUUGAAUAAAUCUAUGGAUUUGAUGAUAGCACUGAUUUAAUAUUACCUUUCUCAACUUUGCUUAAUGCUCCGUGGAACAGAUAAGCCCUUGGCCAGCUGAGGAGAUGUGCUGAGCUCAUCAGAAGAGAACUUAGUCACUUUGCUAAUGGCAUCUCCACUCCAGCUGCAGAAUCUUACCUCAGUGAUCUUAUGACUCAUGGGAAUACUGAAGAUGCAAAAUGAUGCUGUAUCCCAACUCUGAAAUGUCUAGCUCUUCGCCGUUCCUUAUACAUCAGACAUGCGUCCUUUUGCCUCAGGACCCAGUUGUUCAAGUCCAAAGGUUUAUAGGCAUAGUGCCUGUCUCCCAGCUUGCUACCCCAGAUGGCUGGCUUCAUCGCUUUCUCAUCACUGGAACUCAGUACCCAGCAACAACCAUUUAAAGGAGGAAAGGUUUGUUUGUCUCACGUUCUUUCGAAGUCUCAGUUCAUAGUUGGCUCUAGAGCAGAAGUGGCAGAAUGGAAAGUCCUGGGUAGAGGACAGCUGCUCACAUCAAGGCAGCUGGGAUGCAGAGGAAGCAGAGAGGAGAGGUGAGGAAGAGCUACCCGUCCGGGUCACACCCCAGUGACCUGCCUCUUUCAGCCAGACUGUGCCUCCCAACAUCACAUUUAGCUCUCGGGCCUCAAGAUCCAGUCACCUCUCAAAGGCUCCACCUCUGGGUGUGUAAGGCCUUCGGGGGACAUUCUUGACCUAAACCAUAGCAGUGACUGGACACGUUGUUCUAGAACUUCAUAAGAACUGGGGCCAGUGUAAGUGCAACCUCUUAAAAUUGUCUUCACCUUCUAGCCACAUUUGCCCCUUUCCUCGUUCUAGUCGAAUAAAAAGUGUCUAGACUUUUGUUACUGCAUGCUGGCCCUCCACCUCUGUGUUAUACUUUCUGCGUUAGUUGUCUACUGUCAUGAGGAUGAUAUUUUACAGACUACCCUAAGACACAGUGCUUUAAAAUGUACAUUUUUUAUUUGUCAUGUAAUAGUGGCCAUCGUGGUGCUUCUACUAAUUUCAUCUGGGCAGGGUGGGCAGCUACAGCUAUGGAAGUGUCUUUGCUCAAUGGAGUUAGCUGGCUGCUGUCAACUGUGAAGGCUUCGAUAGCGCUGAUAACCUCGGGGACAACAUCUGGACCCCGGUCCUUUCUUCUCUAGCAGUGUUUCUCUGUUACCUGUUAUGAUGCUUCUGCCCGGGGCCAGCCAAGCGUGGACUGAAGCCCUGAAACUGUAAGCCCAAAGGAACCUCCCCUCCUUUAAGGUGUGGGUGCUGGGUAUUUCAGCCCAUCAGUGGGAAAGCUAACUGAUGAGGAGACAUGUUGGAUUCUCCUGUGCUGUGCUCCCCUAGAGCUACCUAGGUAACAUUUGAAGCUCAGGACACCACCACCCCCAGGCUGAGGGCCGGGGAGUGGGGAAGAAGACAUAAUUCUCCACUCUAGCAGAUCAUCUUGCUUUUCUGAUGACUUCUUUUCAAGAGCCUUGUUUGUUUAGAGGUGGG